UGAAAUUCGUAUGCAUAAACCCUAAUUAUUCGGCUAAAAAACUUAAUUAAAUCCUAAUACAUGCAUAGAGAGAAAGAGAGAGAGAUAGAGCUGUCAUUUGUAAUAAAUAUAUUUGAAUUGACAUCCCAGACGCCUCCCUCCCUAAGAUAUUCUAAAUACCUUGUAAAUUCCGGCUUAGCCGUAGUUUUCCUCUUCCGGCGAGCAUCAAACAGACUAAGGAGUGGAUGACUCUUGUUAGCCUUAUUUCUUGCUGAUGACUUCACUGGAUGCUGAUGAGAUUGAGAAUCAUUUGGAAAGCCAGAUUCUGAUGAAAAUUUGGCUGUCGAGGAGCGAAGUGCUGGAGAUGCAGGUAAGGUUUUAGACCUCUUCAAGGUUCCCAGCUCAUCGGAAGCAGCAAUGGCAGACUCGUCAGCGACUAACCUUUCGUAGCCGCCGCGACGGCUUCUCCUUGUGCUGAAUGCUCUCAACAUGGUUUUGAUGGUGAGAAAUUUUGCCGGAAAUUACUUUACAUAUAUGAAAGAAAGAAAG
rnacentral:misc_RNA from 1 species